GUCGGUACCCUUAUUAGAUAGUUUUAACUAGUAUACAACUAUCUGAGACAGGUUCGGCCA
rnacentral:precursor_RNA from 1 species